AUUGAACGCUGGCGGCAGGCCUAACACAUGCAAGUCGAGCGGAUGAAGGGAGCUUUCUCCUGGAUUCAGCGUCGGACGGGUGAGUAAUGCCUAGGAAUCUGCCUGGUAGUGGUGGAUAACGUCCUGAAACGGGCGCUAAUACCGCAUACGUCCUGAUGGUGAAAGUUGGGGUUCUUCGGACCUCACGCUUUCUUAUGAGCCUAGGUCGUAUUAGCUAGUUGGUGGGGUAAAGGCCUACCAAGGCGACGAUCCGUAACUGGUCUGAGAGGAUGAUCAGUCACACUGGAACUGAGACACGGUCCAGACUCCUACGGGAGGCAGCAGUGGGGAAUAUUGGACAAUGGGCGAAAGCAUGAUCCAGCGAUGCCGCGUGUGAGAAGAAGGUCUUCGGAUUGUAAAGCACUUUAAGUUGGGAGGAAGGGCAGUAAGUUAAUACCUUGCUGUUUUGACGUUACCAACAGAAUAAGCACCGGCUAACUACGUG
rnacentral:rRNA from 1 species